rnacentral:rRNA from 1 species
AUGGAUCUCACGUUCCAGUUGAUAGAACAGAUUACCAAAAGUUUCUCUGACGAUCAAAAAAUUGGCUGUGGUGCAUAUGGGGAAGUUUACAAGGGAGUGCACAAUGGUGAAGAAAUUGCCAUUAAGAAGCUUUACAACAUGCAAGGGAUUGAUGACAAGGAAUUUACAAAUGAGUUCCGUAAUCUUAUGAAGGUCAAGCAUCCGAACAUCGUACGCUUAAUUGGCUACUGCUAUGAAAUACGACAUAGACAUGUUGAGAUGAACGGAGAACUUGUUUUCGCUAAAAUAAUAGACCGACUUCUCUGCUUUGAAUAUAUGGAGGGUGGAAGCCUUGCUAAGUAUAUUUCUGAUGAAUCCUGUGGUCUUGAUUGGCCCACUCGAUACAAAAUCAUUAAGGGAAUUUGUGAGGGUCUAAAUCAUCUUCAUAAUGCGCGGAGUGAUUAUAUUUAUCAUCUGGAUUUGAAACCGGAUAAUAUACUGUUGGAUAAAAACAUGAUGCCCAGGAUUGCAGAUUUCGGCAUGUCAAGACUCUUAGCUUCAUCCAAAACCCAUAUAACUCAAACUCUAAAAGGAACACUAGGGUACAUGCCACCAGAAUUCAUUGACAAGCGCAGAAUCACAAAGAAGUAUGAUGUGUUCAGUGUUGGUGUCAUAAUUUUACAAGUAAUGGCUGGAGCUCAGGGCUACAACAAUUGUUGUGAGAUGUCUUCUCCCCAACAGUUUAUCGAGCUUGUACAUGAGAACUGGAAGAAAAGGCUUCAAGGGAUGCCAAUGCAGGAAAAUACUUACUCAAUUGACAUCCUAGCAGUGCAGAGAUGUAUUGAACUCGCAGUGAGAUGUGUGGAGGCCGAUCCCGUAAAAAGGCCUAGUAUAAUGGACGUCGUCGAUGAGCUGAAUAAACUAGAUGCUGACAUGAAGAAUAUAUCACUUCCAUGCCAGGAAACUUCUGAUUCCAAAGAUCUUGAGCUCGAUCCUGCCCUCGAGCUACGCUUCCCAUUUGAGCUAAACAGGGACAUAUCAUGUUGUAUGCAGCUAAUCAACAAGACAAACGAGUUCGUUGCAUUCAACAUCAGAACCAAUAAAAUGAAGUACAGUGCACGGCCAAAUAACGGGACUAUGGCACCAUAUUCCAAGAUUUAUAUCACAUUUACAUUGCUGGCACAAGACAAGGAUCCACCCUAUAUGCGGUGCCAAGACAUGCUCAUUGUGCAGAGCACUAGGCUCAGCAUGGAAUCCGGUGAUGAGAUCACUGACGAGUUCUUCGAGAAGGCAGUGGCAAGUAGGGUGGUGGAUGAGGUGAAGUUGCCGAUUGUCUAUGUUGUGUAG